AUGGAGAUCAACUCCCUCCUUGGGAGUCAGACUCGACAUCUUCCGAGAUGUACGGACCAGAUGUUGAUAUCCAUUCUCAGAGAGCACCGUGCGUCGGAGCUCGACCUCUGGCAAGAAAUCGAUGCCAUGAGCGGUAAAAUACACGACCAGUACCUCUUGGUCAAGACUGCCACGGAAGCCCUGAAGACGGAUCACGGGACUUGGUGGCCGAAAAAAUUGGUCUCCAUCCCCAACACCUCCCAAGGUAAUUCCCCCAACUCCCCUAAAUUCGUGGGGACGAAGACGACGAUGGAGUUUAAACCCGCGGAUGGCAGCAAGCCGGUUGUUGGCAUGACACGGUACAACCUACUUACGACUAGGGAAGAUGGUGAUGGAUUGGAUUUGGAUGAGGAUCUGGCUUUACGUCAUGUCUUCCCGCUGGAAGGAAAAGGCAAGGGCACCCGAAACCGGAAUGGCAAAAGAUCACGAUCAGGAUGUGAAGUGGAUCCACACGAACCCAUUACCCAUGACGGCGUGGAAGAAUUGGACCAAAUGAUGUCCAAUUCCAAAAAGUAUCCAGUUCUAGACGCGGGCAUGGAUGUUCAGGAUCUGCUCUUCGCUGAUCAACCGUCAAAACAGUGGCAAAGCUUCACCAAGAUACACACCAAAAAUCCCAAACUUACGUACGCGGCGUGCAACCACUGCGACACGGUGUUGAAGUUAACAGGUGGUACCAAAUGUGGCACCGGCUCCCUCAGGCAUCAUAAUGACUCCUGCCGAUGCAAACCCAAGCAGGAGCAGCUGCCCGGCAGCUCUUCAUCGACGCCUAUUCCGUCCAUUGCAUUGCAGGCCAUCGCGGAACAAUUAUAG
rnacentral:rRNA from 1 species